rnacentral:sRNA from 1 species
AAGUCAAGAUACUUGUUGGAGCGCAAGAUCUCUUCGAUUGUUGGGUUAAUAACGGACAUCUCAUACCAUAACCUGUGGUCAUCUACCAUACUAUCAGCUGAUAUUGCUCGCGCACGUACGACCGUGUUAUCAUCACCAGAGUGUGCUAAGAGAAGAUUUUGGACUUCGGUGAUCUGGAGAAGCGGUUCUUGGGUCCCUAAAGGCAUCUCUUGGCCGUUGGAACUACCAAAAGGUUCGCAGCAUUGAUCAGUAAAAAAGGCAGGAGUUUUGUCGUGGAUGGUAGCCUUCCUCUUAGUGCUUAUGCAUUCGAGUGAAAAUUACGAUUCUGGACAGGUCGGGUUCGAUAUACAAUUGGUCGAUGAGAUUUUGGAUUGCCUGGUC